rnacentral:lncRNA from 1 species
AUUCAAAACCAGAAAUCACUCAGUGUCUUUAUAUUAUCUGUUGUGUUUUGCAUUUAUCAAGACUGACCUCCAUGCAAAUGUCACUAUUAGAUGAAGUACAUGAUCUAUUUUUUUGUAAAUGAGUAAAAAGUUUGAUGCCAUUCACAAUGUGAAAUUUGAAAGCUGAAACAAGUGGUAUUGUAUUUUAUAUAAAACCUGAAACUUGUAUUAAGCAACAUGUUUAAGAGAGGGUUUAGGGCAAAGCAAAAUCAUAAAAAGACUUAUUGAACCCCCUAGAUUAUAUCUUGCCUUAUGUGUCUAGCUGAAGAGCUGAAGUAGAAAUACUGGUAUUGUUAAUCCAUAAGUUUAAUGCUAUCUUAUGCUGUACAAAAAUUAUUAAUGAUGAAAUAGAAAUAUAGUAAGAUAAAUUAAUUAAUAAGAUAUGGAUCAACUAUAUGUGAAACACAUGGUCAAAUGCUUUUCUGUACAGAAUAUAUGUAGUGUAGAUGUUUCUAUGACAUAUGAGAACUUGUUCUAGAAUUACUAAAUUAACAAGUGUAAUUGUUGCAUGUAUACUAUCAUAUCAUUUCCUGUCAGUACCGACUCUAGAAGUCCUAGUGUACCUAUGUAAUCAUCCUUACAAUAUUGAGAAAAUGAUAGUUUUGGUACCCUCCUUCUGAUAGUGUCCUGAUGCAAUGCAUCAUUUGCUUUCUGGGUUAAGCCAGCCCUGUCUCCUCUAGAUUUGAUAUAUGAAUCAAUUAAGAUUCUUUAUAUACUCCAUAUGUCUUUUAGAAACAAUAACCUUCACUUGUAGUGAGGAAACACCUCCUGUAAGAUUGUGAUAAGGAAACUAUUGUGCUUUUUACCAUUGACUAUAGGACGUAGGAAUUUACGUAAUUUUAUGUUAGAUUGCCUGAUCACCAUCUCAUUACCACAGACUUGCAAAUUGUUAGAACCAGCAAUACUCCAGAUGUGCCUUGGCAAUCCUCAGGCAGCAGAAUUCUAUCUAUAUCAUUAUUUUUCUAAUUCUAUAAUAAUGAGUAAAUGGAUUAUGCUUUGCUCACCCUUGACACCUAAAAUGAUUCCAAUUGUUAGGAGCAUCUUCUAAAUGAACAAUUAUUAGGCCAUCCAUCAAUACAAGAUAUAACUCCUGAAUUAUUAUUAUUAUUAUUAUUAUUUAUAGAGUACAUCAAUGUGAGCACAGAAUAACUUUAGGGCAAAGUGCUAUGUUGGACAAGAG